rnacentral:rRNA from 1 species
UAACACGUGAGCUAACCUGCCCUCCACUUCGUGGAUAACCUCGGGAAAUCCUGGCUAAAACCGGAAAUGAGCACUCAUCGCAUGGAGGGUGUUGGAAAGAUUUAUCGGUGGGGGAUGGACUCGCGACCUAUCACUUUGUUGGUGAGGUGAUGGCUCACCAAGACGAUGACGGGUAGCCGGCCUGAGAGGGCGACCGGCCACACUGGGACUGACACACGGCCCACACUCCUACGGGAGGCCGCCGUGGGGAAUAUUGCACAAUGGGCGAAAGCCUGAUGCAGCGACACCGCGUGGGGGAUGACGGCCUUCGGGUUGUAAACCCCUUUCAGUAGGGAAGAAGCGAGAGUGACGGUACCUGCCAAGAAGCGCCGGCUAACUACGUGCCAGCAGCCGCGGUAAUACGUAGGGCGCAAGCGUUGUCCGGAAUUAUUGGGCGUAAAGAGCUUGUAGGUGGGUUGUC